rnacentral:rRNA from 1 species
ACAUCCAGAGAAUUUAGCAGAGAUGCUUUAGUGGCCUUCGGGAACUCUGAGACAGGUGCUGCAUGGCUGUCGUCAGCUCGUGUUGUGAAAUGUUGGGUUAAGUCCCGNAACGAGCGCAACCCUUAUCCUUUGUUGCCAGCACGUAAAUGGUGGGAACUCAAAGGAGACUGCCGGUGAUAAACCGGAGGAAGGUGGGGAUGACGUCAAGUCAUCAUGGCCCUUACGAGUAGGGCUACACACGUGCUACAAUGGCGCAUACAAAGAGAAGCGACCUCGCGAGAGCAAGCGGACCUCAUAAAGUGCGUCGUAGUCCGGAUUGGAGUCUGCAACUCGACUCCAUGAAGUCGGAAUCGCUAGUAAUCGUAAAUCAGAAUGUUACGGUGAAUACGUUCCCGGGCCUUGUACACACCGCCCGUCACACCAUGGGAGUGGGUUGCAAAAGAAGUAGAUAGCUUAACCUUCGGGAGGGCGUUUACCACUUUGUGAUUCAUGACUGGGGUGAAGUCGUAACAAGGUAAGCGUAGUGCU